rnacentral:rRNA from 2 species
GCACAAGCAGCGGAGCAUGUGGUUUAAUUCGAAGCAACGCGAAGAACCUUACCAGGACUUGACAUCCCUCUGACCGGCGUGUAACGGCGCCUUCCCUUCGGGGCAGAGGAGACAGGUGGUGCAUGGUUGUCGUCAGCUCGUGUCGUGAGAUGUUGGGUUAAGUCCCGCAACGAGCGCAACCCUUGUCGUUAGUUGCCAGCAGGUGAAGCUGGGCACUCUAGUGAGACUGCCGGGGACAACUCGGAGGAAGGUGGGGAUGACGUCAAAUCAUCAUGCCCCUUAUGUUCUGGGCUACACACGUGCUACAAUGGCCGGUACAGAGAGACGCAAUGUCGCGAGGCGGAGCAAAACUCUAAAACCGGUCCCAGUUCGGAUUGCAGGCUGAAACUCGCCUGCAUGAAGUCGGAGUUGCUAGUAAUCGCGAAUCAGAAUGUCGCGGUGAAUGCGUUCCCGGGUCUU